rnacentral:rRNA from 1 species
AUCUACAGCCAUGCUACCCUGAACAGGCCCGAUCCCGUUUGGUCUCGGAAGCUAAGCAGGGGCAGUACUGGUUAGUAGUUGGAUGGGAGACCACCUAUGAAGACCAGGUGCUGUAGGGG